UACGAAGGGGGCUAGCGUUGCUCGGAAUCACUGGGCGUAAAGGGUGCGUAGGCGGCCUAUUAAGUCAGGGGUGAAAGACGGUAGCUUAACUAUCGCAGUGCCUUUGAUACUGAUAGGCUUGAAUGUACUUGAGGUAGGCGGAAUGUGACAAGUAGCGGUGAAAUGCAUAGAUAUGUCACAGAACACCAAUUGCGAAGGCAGCUUACUAAAGUAUGAUUGACGCUGAGGCACGAAAGCGUGGGGAUCAAACAGG
rnacentral:rRNA from 1 species